AGGCUUAACACAUGCAAGUCGAGCGGGCACUUUCGGGUGUCAGCGGCGGACGGGUGAGUAACGCGUGGGAACGUGCCCUCUGGUUCGGAAUAACUCAGGGAAACUUGAGCUAAUACCGGAUACGCCCUUUUGGGGAAAGGCUUGCUGCCGGAGGAUCGGCCCGCGUCUGAUUAGCUAGUUGGUGAGGUAACGGCUCACCAAGGCGACGAUCAGUAGCUGGUCUGAGAGGAUGAUCAGCCACACUGGGACUGAGACACGGCCCAGACUCC
rnacentral:rRNA from 2 species